rnacentral:rRNA from 1 species
AUUGCAGAUAUUCGUGAUACAUCGAAUCUUUGAACGCACAUUGCGCCCUCUGGUAUUCCGGAGGGCAUGCCUGUUUGAGCGUCGUUU